AUGUUGCAUCACCAUCUAUAUGCUUUGCACAUGAUUCAUAUUACUUCUUGUCAUAUAUCUCCAUGUGUUGCCUCUCUCAUGCUAGAUGAUUUGCCAUGUAUUGAGUGCAACAAUGAUUCUCUUCUUGCUCAUGAGAUUGCCCCCAUAGCAUUCUCGCAUAUAUUUGGAGAUUUUGACAUAAUUCUUGUGAAGCAUGCUUGUCUUACUUCUUUGCACCAUAUACCUAGUGCCAUGAAUUUAGCCAUUGUUGCAUCAUAUUAUUCAUGCACUUGUGCUUCUAAUGGUUUUGUGCAAAAGAUGAGAACCAUCAUGAUGGAUGAUGUGUUUGUCUACCAUGCGCAUACUUUCUUUGUUUUGUUUUAUGCAUGUGUAGGAUACUUGGACUUUGUGUCGACUUCCACUUCACAUGAGUUAACCAUUCGAGCUCUUGAGAGCGAGCCUCAUAUCGCUUCUACACCAUAUUUGCUUCCACUUCGGCAUUGUGAAGAAUGCACACGCCUUCAAGGUGACAUCCUUCUUGAACUUGGAUAUUGUGGAUCAUACUUCAUGUGUUGCUUGCACCAUUUGCACGCAUGUUCGAGAUAUUGCUUUCAACCAUGUUUGCCACAUUUCCAUGCUCCAUGA
rnacentral:rRNA from 1 species